rnacentral:tRNA from 2 species
GUCCCGUUCGUCUAGCCCGGUCCAGGACAUCGCCCUUUCACGGCGGCAACACGGGUUCAAAUCCCGUACGGGACGCCA